AUUGAACGCUGGCGGCAGGCCUAACACAUGCAAGUCGAACGAGUGGCGGACGGGUGAGUAAUGUCUGGGAAACUGCCUGAUGGAGGGGGAUAACUACUGGAAACGGUAGCUAAUACCGCAUACCAUCAGAUGUGCCCAGAUGGGAUUAGCUAGUUGGUGGGGUAACGGCUCACCAAGGCGACAUUCCCUAGCUGGUCUGCGAGGAUGACCAGCAAGCCUGGAACUAAGAGACGGGCCAGACUCCUACGGGAGGCAGCAGUGGGGGAUAUUGCACAAUGGGGGCAAGCCGGAUGCAGCCAUGACGCUUUUAUGAAGAAGGCCUUUGGGUUGUAAAGUACUUUCGUAGGGGAUGCGUCACCCGGAGAGGAAUCACAGGCUAACUCCGCGCCAGCAGCCGCGGUAAUAC
rnacentral:rRNA from 1 species